CCAGCCACAGGCAGCCGGGCCGGGCCAGGCCACCUGCCCCUGGAUCCCACCCUCCAGCCCUAGCCGCGGAGAGAGGCAGCCGGAGUGCGGGGUGGAGCCUCCAGGCCGGGCCGCAGCCCUUGGCGCCCGGGACCAUGUGCUCAGAAGGGGGGACGGGACGUGCCCCGCCCACCGCCCGGCCAGCCCCGCAGCCGCGGCAGCACUCAGUCAUUCUGGCCCCCGCAGCGCGCUCCCAAGAGCCGGGCGGCCCUCGGCCGGUCCGAGUCAUUUUCCAGGCCGGGCUCCACGACUUCGCGCGAGAGGCUAUUCCGCAGUCGGGCGCUUUCUUGUUGUCCUGUCACUUUAACUCCGCCUUGCUGGCACGGCUCCAGGAGCAAGUCCUGCUCUGAAGAAUCUCUCCUCACCCCAAAUCAGCUAAGUGUCUCAAACAGUUGUUUUGACACUAAGAGGGACAAUACCUUGCUGGACAGACACUGAAAGUGACAUUUCCUAAACAGAAAUUUCUGCCGUUUCUGCAACAGUGCGUCUGAGCAUGCUCCACCCCGUGAAGGAGUGAAUGCCAUAAAGGGCCCUGCAGCAAUCCCCUUCUGUGGCUGAUUCAGGAAAGUUGGUGGACUGCAGAGGACAGGGCAGGAAUCAUGGCGUGUGGCCUUGAGGAUGCCUGCAUUUCUGUUUGUAGGAAAGUGGAAAAAGAGAGAAGAUUCAUCGGGGCUCUGAAAUAGGGGUGGAAUAAACAAAGCUUAAAAGGGACACAAAUUUCAUAGCAUACUCUGAGAGAGACUCCAUUGCAGUGACUGAAAGGAAGAGCCUUUUCAUCAAACAUAUUAUCCCCCAGUUGUGAGGUAAAGGGAAUAAAAAUGCUCAGUGGUCUGCAUGUCCACUGCAUACCAGCUGUACAGUAAUAUUGUAAUAAACUGUUUAGCCAAUCAUUGUUAUGCUGGUGCUGUUUAGCAGCUUGCUUCCAAUAUUGCAUUAUAAAAAUUACAUAUUUCAUGUAA